AAUCUUCGGGCACGCUAUUUUAACUGCCAUUUUCAUGAUGAUGGGUGACUUUGAUUUUGAAGAAAUUUUUGUGGAAAAUGAUAUCUCUGAGUUCAAUACAUUGAAAACGUUGCGAAUAGUUUUAUUUUGUUUUGUUUCUUCUGUUUGUGUCAAUCAUCAUGAUGAAUCUUUUGGUUGCUCUUGCAGUUCAAGACAUAAGUGACGAGUUCAAGAAAAAAAAUAAGCAAAUCAAACCCUUUUAUACUAAAUAUCACUUUGAUUGAAAAUAUAGUCUAUAUGCACACUGCCUUAUAAUGAUUGAAGAAAAGAGAACAAGAGCAGUCUUCUAAGGCAAAAAUGAUGAGUGAUUUAGAUAGAAAGAUGCACAGCUUUAACAAGUGGUCUUCUUGGAAUAGAAAAAGCUUUUUAAAACCAGCUGCAAGUUGGCUGAAACGUCGAGACAAAAUUUUGGUUACAUGAUUUAGAAAUAUAUUUAUGGGUCAGUCGUCAUUUCAACAGUUAUAGAAAAAACAUGAGGACAACGACGUAUUGCAAAUGGAACUUACAAUGGUGAAGCAGGAACUUAUAAGGAUGAAA